GGGGGUAAAGAUUAGUGGUAGAGCAUUCGAUUGCAGAUCGAAUGGUCCCCGGUUCAAACUCGGGUCUUCUUCA